UAUUGUUCUCAGGGCGGGGUGAAAGUCCCCACCGGCGGUAAAGGCGCAGCGUCGCCAAGCCCGCGAGCGCCCGGUACUGUCUGCAUCCGUUGGGAUACAGCGCAGCCGGGGUCAGCAGAUUCGGUGCAACUCCGAAGCCGACGGUCAUAGUCCGGAUGAAAGAGAACGGUU
rnacentral:ncRNA from 2 species